UACGGGGGGGGCAAGCGUUGUUCGGAAUUACUGGGCGUAAAGGGCUCGUAGGCGGCCAACUAAGUCAGACGUGAAAUCCCUCGGCUUAACCGGGGAACUGCGUCUGAUACUGGAUGGCUUGAGUUUGGGAGAGGGACGCGGAAUUCCAGGCGUAGCGGUGAAAUGCGUAGAUAUCUGGAGGAACACCGGUGGCGAAGGCGGCAUCCUGGACCGGCAUUGACGCUGAGGAGCGAAAGCCAGGGGAGCAAACGGG
rnacentral:rRNA from 1 species